rnacentral:rRNA from 1 species
GUAUUAACUUGUUGGUGGGGUAACGGCCUACCAAGGUGAUGAUACGUAGCCGAACUGAGAGGUUGAUCGGCCACAUUGGGACUGAGACACCGCCCAAACCCCUACGGGAGGCAGCAGUAGGGAAUCUUCCACAAUGGACGAAAGUCUGAUGGAGCAACGCCGCGUGAAUGAAGAAGGCCUUCGGGUCGUAAAAUUCUGUUGUCAGAGAAGAAUGUGCGUGAGAGUAACUGUUCACGUAUUGACGGUAUCUGACCAGAAAGCCACGGCUAACUACGUGCCAGCAGCCGCGGUAAUACGUAGGUGGCAAGCGUUGUCCGGAUUUAUUGGGCGUAAAGGGAACGCAGGCGGUCUUUUAAGUCUGAUGUGAAAGCCUUCGGCUUAACCGAAGUAGUGCAUUGGAAACUGGAAGACUUGAGUGCAGAAGAGGAGAGUGGAACUCCAUGUGUAGCGGUAAAAUGCGUAGAUAUAUGGAAGAACACCAGUGGCGAAAGCGGCUCUCUGGUCUGUAACUGACGCUGAGGUUCGAAAGCGUGGGUAGCAAACAGGAUUAGAUACCCUGGUAGUCCACGCCGUAAACGAUGAGUGCUAAGUGUUGGAGGGUUUCCGCCCUUCAGUGCUGCAGCUAACGCAUUAAGCACUCCGCCUGGGGAGUACGGUCGCAAGACUGAAACUCAAAGGAAUUGACGGGGGCCCGCACAAGCGGUGGAGCAUGUGGUUUAAUUCGAAGCAACGCGAAGAACCUUACCAGGUCUUGACAUCUUCUGACAAUUCCAGAGAUGGAACGUUCCCUUCGGGGACAGAAUGACAGGUGGUGCAUGGUUGUCGUCAGCUCGUGUCGUGAGAUGUUGGGUUAAGUCCCGCAACGAGCGCAACCCUUAUUGUCAGUUGCCAUCAUUAAGUUGGGCACUCUGGCGAGACUGCCGGUGACAAACCGGAGGAAGGUGGGGAUGACGUCAAAUCAUCAUGCCCCUUAUGACCUGGGCUACACACGUGCUACAAUGGACGGUACAACGAGUCGCUAACUCGCGAGGGCAAGCUAAUCUCUUAAAGCCGUUCUCAGUUCGGAUUGCAGGCUGCAGCUCGCCUGCAUGAAGUCGGAAUCGCUAGUAAUCGCGAAUCAGCAUGUCGCGGUGAAUACGUUCCCGGGCCUUGUACACACCGCCCGUCACACCAUGAGAGUUUGUAACACCCAAAGUCGGUGGGGUAACCUUUUGGAGCCAGCCGCCUAAGGUGGGACAGAUGAUUGGGGUGAAGUCGUAACAAGGUA